rnacentral:tRNA from 1 species
AUAUUUUUAUUAUAAAAUAAAUAUAAUACUUUUAAAUUAUAAUUAAUAUAUAUAAAGCUAUUUUAAUAAAAUACUUAAAAAUUAAAAUAAUUAUUUUUUCUUAAAUUUAUAUUUUAACUUUAAGAUUUAAAAGUUUAAAUAAUAAUUUAAAAUUAAUAAGCUUAUAAUAUAAAUUUAAAUUAUAUAUAUUAUAAUUAUUAAAAUACUAAAAAUAAGGUAAAACCCCUAAUAUAUA